UGUAUUGCCUUUACGAUCAAGUGCCACUUUAACUGUGCGCCCGUAAUAUUUUGGUAGGCGUGAGCCGCUGAGAUUUGUUGUAGUAAGCUUACACCGGUUCUCUAUGUCGUGUCGGAGAGAGCAGCGCAGUGAUCAUACACAAGCGCCGGCGUCGAGCCCCUCCUUUCUCCUCUAGCUAGACGCCCCGUUGCCCAGGCCACACAUUUUUAAAUAAAAUAAAUGUCACCGCACAGCCAGGAAACUACCCGUCAGCUUGCUGGUCCGUAACUACGCUUCUCUGCGCCAUGUCAGCCAGCGUCCAUAGUCUUGUGCUAGCUAGCAAGUAGGCAAGCUAGCUAGCCGCACAAAAUGCUAGCACAGUUCGAUAGCUACGUUGCGUUCGGCGUUUCGAUGGUUUUUGCAUCUUCUUUAAGUGCGCGUCAUUACAUCUCGGAAUUCGACAAGACUGCUAUGAACAAUGACCAUAGUUGACGGAUCUUCAGAAAAGUCUGACCACGAGUCAGCCGGAUGUAACCGACCCUCCUUCACCAGUGGAGACGUGGGGAUGGACGGCAGUUGUUCCAGCAGCUGGGCAGUGGGCCCCACUGUACCCAGUGACUCUCCAAGGCUCAAGGCUCCAGUAGGCUGCCUGGCCCCCACUCCUGGAGCUGCUGUGUACAACAGUACACCCUCCUCUGUGGACCGGCCCAAGGACCAAGUGAUGAGCAGU